UUCAGGGGAACAGUGGGUUAACUGCCUUGUUCAGGGGAACAGUGGGUUAACUGCCUUGUUCAGGGGAACAGUGGGUUAACUGCCUUGUUCAGGGGAACAGUGGGUUAACUGCCUUGCUCAGGGGCAGAUUUAAAAUGUUUGCAGGAGAAUAUAAAGGCAGUUUACAUGGGCAAUAACCAAUCACUACUUUCAAAGGACGACAUUACUCGUCCAUCUAGUUAUCAGUUAUCCAUCUAGUUAUUCACCCACACAUGUCAAAAUCAAACCACAGUGCUGAUGUUUCUUUACUCUGAGGUCCAACCAUGCUAAUGCAGUGUGUUUCUUUACUCUGAGGUCCAACCAUGCUAAUGCAGUGGAGUUGCCAAUUCAUGUUCAACUGAGCUACGCAGGGGGCGUGGUAAGCGAGGGUCUCGAUAGACUUUAAUAGGAGUAUGGUGGCGGGCGGCAAGUGGUGCGAUUUGUGGUGUCCGCUCCUGUGAGCGGCGCCGCUGGCUUAGAGUUUGAGCUGUCACAAGAUGAAAUGAGUUGAAGUCUUGAGAGGCCGACGUGCACAGUUGACCUAUGAGCAGAGUACAUCUUGUCCCACUAAGUUUUUAAAAAAAUGACAACAUUCCAGCUGACAAACACCGUGACUGCUGGUAGACACUUUCUUUUCUUAUUUUUUUUUCUUCUGCGGUUCAAUUGUCGUCUACAGUGUAUAAGUGCCUUUUAUUGCGGAGUGAUCCUUCAUGUCGAAGCCACUCGGCGGAGGACUGGUGAACUCUGAUUUGCGGAGUGCGGGCACAGGUCACGUCAACAUGGAUAUCUAAUAGGUACGCAUUCUCAGGAAUUUAAAUUACGACGGGUGUUUUCACAUGUUUUUAUGUGAAAUGUUUAUUAGGCUAGACUUCUGAUAUGUUGAAAUAUAUUAAGCAUUGGCCAUUAUAACUAUGGAGAAAUAUUGUUUGUGAAGGGAAGUAUUCAUUUUAAAGAUGCACUCUCAAACGAUUGUAUAAUAUCAGACAGUUUUGAAAGUGGUGCUCAUGAGCCAAAAAUGGUCCCAUUUUUGUUUGUGUGUGUGUACUAAGUUAUUUUAUUUUUGACCACAUGUGUGUGAUCAUACAAUCAAAUCCAUGCAAAAUGUUACGAGUUUGUUGUGCUUAAGAUCCCGGACUGCAUCUUUAAUUUAUGAAAUUGUGAUUUGAGGUGCAUUUUGGAUUAUUCCGAUGUUGGUGACUGUGUUUUAAUAUCAAUCGUAAUCUCCAUAAUUUUCUAAAUGUGUUAAAUGAAAUCUCUGGUAGACAUAAAAUGCAUUACAUCCAAUGUUUGUCUGCUACAGUGCCAGUUACAUAUGGGUGCAUGCGUGCGCACACCCAUACCUGAGUCAGUUACAUAUGGGUGCAUGCGUGCGCACACCCAUACCUGAGUCAGUUACAUAUGGGUGCUUGCGUGCGCACACCCAUACCUGAGUCAGUUACAUAUGGGUGCUUGUGUGCGCACACCCAUACCUGAGUCAGUUACAUAUGGGUGCUUGCGUGCGCACACCCAUACCUGAGUCAGUUACAUAUGGGUGCUUGCGUGCGCACACCCAUACCUGAGUCAGUUACAUAUGGGUGCUUGCGUGCGCACACCCAUACCUGAGUCAGUUACAUAUGGGUGCUUGCGUGCGCACACCCAUACCUGAGUCAGUUACAUAUGGGUGCUUGCGUGCGCACACCCAUACCUGAUUCUCCCCUUUAAUCUUCAUUCUGCAACUUGACUCAGUCAGUGUUUACUGUGUUUGUUUGAUUAUUUAUGGAUACAAAAUAAACUGAAAUAUCACAUUUA